rnacentral:sRNA from 1 species
CCAUUUAAUGUAUAGUUUAUUUCUAGGUUUUCCUUCUGUGUUUUUAGACACUGAGAUGCCUAAAUAUUGAUUUGUUUAUUAUUUUGUUUCUUUAUUUUUCCAGCUCCCAGUAAAACACAAUUUAUUUCUCUGAAACCUAAAAUCCCUCUCAGCCCAGAAGUGACACACACCAAACCUGCUCCCAAGCAGACACCACGUGCUCCUCCUAAGCCAAAAACAUCACCACGCCCAAGAAUCCCACAGACACAACCAGUUCCUAAGGUGCCCCAGCGUUUUACUGCAAAACCAAAAACGUUACCAAGUCCAGAAGUGUCAUACACCACACCUGCUCCUCUAGAGACACGAGGCAUCCCUUUUAUACCUAUGAUUUCCCCAAGUCCUAGUCAAGAGGAACUACAGACUACUCUGGAAGAAACAGACCAAUCCACCCAAGAACCUUUCACAACUAAGAUUCCACAAACAACUGAACUGGCAAAGACAACUCAGGCACCACACAGAUUUUAUACUACUGUGAGGCCCAGAACAUCUGACAAGCCACACAUCAGACCUGUUCUGAAUAGGACAACUACAAGACCUACUAGGCCCAAACCCAGUGGGAUGCCCAGUGGGAAUGGAGUGGGAACAGGGGUCAAGCAAGUACCCAGGCCAUCAGGUGUUGGUAGAAAUAUAUCAGUGGACUCUACCCACCCCACUAAAAAGCCAGGGACUCGCCGCCCACCCUUGCCACCCAGACCUACACCCCCACGAAGAAAACCUUUACCACCAAAUAAUGUCACUGGAAAGCCGGGAAGUGCAGGAAUCAUUUCUUCAGGCCCAAUAACUAUACCACCCCUGAGGUCAACACUCAGACCUACUGGAACUCCCUUGGAGAGAAUAGCAACAGAUAUAAAGCAACCAACAGUUCCUGCCUCUGGAGAAGAACUGGAAAAUAUAACUGACUUCAGCUCAAGCCCAACAAGAGAAACCGAUCCUCUUGGGAAGCCAAGAUUCAAAGGUCCUCAUGUGCGAUACAUCCAAAAGCCUGACAACAGUCCCUGCUCCAUUACUGACUCCGUCAAACGGUUCCCCAAAGAGGAGGCCACAGAGGGAAAUGCCACCAGCCCACCACAGAACCCACCCACCAACCUCACUGUGGUCACUGUGGAAGGGUGCCCCUCAUUUGUCAUCUUGGACUGGGAAAAGCCACUAAAUGACACUGUCACUGAAUAUGAAGUUAUAUCCAGAGAAAAUGGGUCAUUCAGUGGGAAGAACAAGUCCAUUCAAAUGACAAAUCAGACCUUUUCCACAGUAGAAAAUCUGAAACCAAACACAAGUUACGAAUUCCAGGUGAAACCCAAAAACCCGCUUGGUGAAGGCCCGGUCAGCAACACAGUGGCAUUCAGUACUGAAUCAGCGGACCCAAGAGUGAGUGAGCCAGUUUCUGCAGGAAGAGAUGCCAUCUGGACUGAAAGACCCUUUAAUUCAGACUCUUACUCAGAGUGUAAGGGCAAACAAUAUGUCAAAAGGACAUGGUAUAAAAAAUUUGUAGGAGUGCAGCUGUGCAACUCUCUCAGAUACAAGAUUUACUUGAGCGACUCCCUCACAGGAAAAUUUUAUAACAUAGGUGAUCAGAGGGGCCAUGGAGAAGAUCACUGCCAGUUUGUGGAUUCAUUUUUAGAUGGACGCACUGGGCAGCAACUCACUUCUGACCAGUUACCAAUCAAAGAAGGUUAUUUCAGAGCAGUUCGCCAGGAACCUGUCCAAUUUGGAGAAAUAGGUGGUCACACCCAAAUCAAUUAUGUUCAGUGGUAUGAAUGUGGGACUACAAUUCCUGGAAAAUGGUAGAUGCUGCACAAAGUUACCUUGUUUCAUCAUGGCAAACAAAAAUCACUGAAAAUACUAUGUCACAUUCAUUUAAAGCUAUUUUGUUUACUAUGUAUAAAAGUCUACAAUCUAAUUAAUAGCAAUACUAGAUGUUUAUUAUUAGAAAAGAUUGCUGAGAGUAUUUAUCAGGUUUUACAAAGUCAUUUUAAGAAAGCAAGAUAUUGAUGUUAACAGAAUAACAUUUUUGGGGAAGCUGGCUCCCUAUUCAUGGUAUUUUAAGAGAUCGUUUGUAUAUUAUUUAUCACACUGUUGUAAUGAUGUUUUGAGAUACUUCUUUUGUAACAAAAUUAACAUCAAAAAAGGUAUAUACUUUUUAAAAAUAUUUACUUUUAUUGAUGUGUACUCUUCCUAUUGACGAGUUAAUUCCAUAAAUCUCUACUUAGUUUAACUUAUUGGAUCAAAUUGUCUUCAGCAUAUAUAUCUGGGGAAAAAAGGUCCGAAUUUUCACAUUUAUAUUUAAACUUCAAUUUUUUAGCAACAGCUGAAUAGCUUUGCGGUGGAGUUUAAUAGUUACACAUUCAUGCUAAUAUACAUUUCCUUUAAACAUCCACAAAUUCUUAAAAAGAUUGAAUCAGUAAAUUUCAUUUCAGCUAAAAAUGGGGUCUAAUAUAUUGUUUCAAAAGAUACAUUUUUACCCACCAUAAAUGUUACGAUAUCUGAAUAUGCUUUGUCAAACUAUCCCUUUAUGCAAUCGUCUUCAUAUUGUUUUUGAUUCUAAUCAAGCUGUAUGUAGAGACUGAAUGUGAAGUCAAGUCUGAGCAACAAAAAGAUAAUGCACGAUGAGAGAUUGCCUACCAUUUUAUAGGAUAUUUACUAUGUAUUUAUACAUUAAGACCUCUAUGAAUGAAUGUAUCAGAGAAUGUCUUUGUAACUGUUUGUUUAAUUCAAUCUGUAAUAAAAAUCUGACUCAUUUCUACUAAAAAGGUAUUGUCCUUUAGGCAGGGAAUGGGACUCCUUGCUGCACUGUUGCAGUCAUUCUGAAAGGACCUUUCCCUGUACUUACCUUUCAACAUGCUUCAAUCUUAUCAACGCUACAUUUUGUAUUUUUCAAACAAACAAGUACAAAUUCUGCAAUAAAGAGAUGUAGUUUUUUUUAA